rnacentral:rRNA from 1 species
UGUUUCGGCUAGGGGGCCAUCCCGGCUUACCAACCCGAUGCAAACUGCGAAUACCGGAGAAUGUUAUCACGGGAGACACACGGCGGGUGCUAACGUCCGUCGUGAAGAGGGAAACAACCCAGACCGCCAGCUAAGGUCCCAAAGUCAUGGUUAAGUGGGAAACGAUGUGGGAAGGCCCAGACAGCCAGGAUGUUGGCUUAGAAGCAGCCAUCAUUUAAAGAAAGCGUAAUAGCUCACUGGUCGAGUCGGCCUGCGCGGAAGAUGUAACGGGGCUAAACCAUGCACCGAAGCUGCGGCAGCGACACUGUGUGUUGUUGGGUAGGGGAGCGUUCUGUAAGCCUGUGAAGGUGUGUCGUGAGGCAUGCUGGAGGU